AGUGAACGCUGGCGGCAGGCCUAACACAUGCAAGUCGAGCGAGCGGCGGAGGGGCGAGUAAUGUCUGGGAAACUGCCUGAUGGAGGGGGAUAACUACUGGAAACGGUAGCUAAUACCGCAUACCAUCAGAUGUGCCCAGAGUGGAUUAGCUAGUAGGUGGGGUAAUGGCUCACCUAGGCGACGAUCCCUAGCGGGUCUGAGAGGGUGACCGGCCACACUGGAACUGAGACACGGUCCAGACUCCUACGGGAGGCAGCAGUGGGGAAUCUUGCACAAUGGGCGCAAGUCUGAUGGAGCCAUGCCGCGUGUGUGAAGAAGGCCUUCGGGUUGUAAAGCACUUUCAGCGGGGAGGCGUUACUCGCAGAAGAAGCACCGGCUAACUCCGUGCCAGCAGCCGCGGUAAUUC
rnacentral:rRNA from 1 species